GGAGAGUGCAACACAAAAAGCUGCAGACGAACCCAAGCCUGAUCCCAAUGGAAGCUCAGAAUUGACAACUGCUUUAGCUGGUUUGCAUCCAUGGAUUGAGGUGAAUAGCCAAAGAAAAGCUGUGACACCUGCAGCGAGACCUAUAUUUGCCUCAGGAAUGUUCUGCUCAUCGACUAGAGAAGCAAUUAGUUUAAGAGUCUCCAGCGAGCAUGAGGAAGGAGGAAUCGGAUUUUCCAAGUUUGGAAAAGCCUCUUUAAUUCUUGCAACUGGCCAGGAAAAUUCUAAUGACACAUCCUUAAGCUGGAGGCUUAGUCUUUCGUCAUUAUCAGCAGGAGUAGGAAAUCGAAGGGAGACGUAAGUAUAGAGAUCGAUAGAGGCAGCGACGGCAGCUGAUCCGUGAACCACAGCAUGUUCACCAGCCAAUAUGAUUUUCCCUGGGGCUCUAGCUCUCACCUCCAUUUUUUUUUC
rnacentral:misc_RNA from 1 species